rnacentral:rRNA from 1 species
CCAUAGUAUUACUUAUAUAUAAUAUGUAAUAAGUUUAGGCGCUUGAAGAUGGGUGUGCGUCCCAUUAGCUAGUUGGUGAGGUAACGGCUCACCAAGGCGACGAUGGUAGGGGGCGUGAGAGCGUGGUCCCCCACACGGGUACUGAGACACGGACCCG